GCGAAAGCCUGAUGCAGCCAUGCCGCGUGUGUGAAGAAGGCCCUAGGGUUGUAAAGCACUUUCAGUGGGGAGGAAAGGGAGAUUGCUAAUAUCAGUCUCCUGUGACGUUACCCACAGAAGAAGCACCGGCUAACUCCGUGCCAGCAGCCGCGGUAAUACGGAGGGUGCGAGCGUUAAUCGGAAUUACUGGGCGUAAAGCGUGCGUAGGCGGCUUUUUAAGUUGGAUGUGAAAGCCCCGGGCUUAACCUGGGAACUGCAUCCAAAACUGGAAGGCUUGAGUGCGAGAGAGGAGUGUGGAAUUUCCUGUGUAGCGGUGAAAUGCGUAGAUAUAGGAAGGAACACCAGUGGCGAAGGCGACACUCUGGCUUGACACUGACGCUGAGGUACGAAAGCGUGGGGAGCAAACAGGAUUAGAUACCCUGGUAGUCCACGCCGUAAACGAUGUCUACUAGUUGUCGGUGGUCUUGUACUGCUGGUA
rnacentral:rRNA from 1 species